rfam:Halomonas sp. PBN3 contig29, whole genome shotgun sequence.
GAGGGCGGGCCCCUCGGAGCCGCUGUGCAGGCGGAGGCUCCAAACCACCCACUACUGCUGCCUUUAAGAGAGGUGGUGGGAAGCGAGAUGGGAAAAGGCGAGCCAAGAGCUCGUCAGGU